CCUACGGGAGGCAGCAGUGGGGAAUAUUGGACAAUGGGGGCAACCCUGAUCCAGCCAUGCCGCGUGUGUGAAGAAGGCCCUCGGGUUGUAAAGCACUUUCAGUGAGGAAGAACGCCUGGUGGUUAAUACCCAUCAGGAAAGACAUCACUCACAGAUGAAGCACCGGCUAACUCCGUGCCAGCAGCCGCGGUAAUACGGAGGGUGCGAGCGUUAAUCGGAAUUACUGGGCGUAAAGCGCGCGUAGGUGGCUUGAUAAGCCGGUUGUGAAAGCCCCGGGCUCAACCUGGGAACGGCAUCCGGAACUGUCAAGCUAGAGUGCAGGAGAGGAAGGUAGAAUUCCCGGUGUAGCGGUGAAAUGCGUAGAGAUCGGGAGGAAUACCAGUGGCGAAGGCGGCCUUCUGGACUGACACUGACACUGAGGUGCGAAAGCGUGGGUAGCGAACAGGAUUAGAUACCCGAGUAGUC
rnacentral:rRNA from 1 species